rnacentral:lncRNA from 1 species
GUACCAGGAAGUUGACUGCUCGGUUCAGUCUUCGGUCUACGGAGGUCCUGGCCGCGAAGGCUGCGUCCUGCGCAGGCUGCAGCCCCAUGAAUUGAGACACAGCCUGUGUGAGGAUAGCGCCACAAUUUGCCCGGAGUGUAGGAAAAUGCGCAUGCCCAAAACUUCUGUCAAUUAGCAGAUGAUACCAACACGUGUGGCUUUUGCUCAACAUUUGAACCACUCAAGAUAGAUAGUAGCUAACUGCGAUCUCCAUGCACAAUGUGGAAUAUCUUCUACAGUAGGCCUACACAUUUAAAAGUUUACUUUAUAAAGAAAACCGGGAAAUGAAACACCUCGGUGCCCACCAGCCGCGGAUAUUGUUAUAAACCAAACCGCUAGUAAAAAUAAUCAAAUUAAACGCGGAGUGAUUCUCCAGCACCAAACAUGAAAGCAGCAGGACAACGCCUUUGAAGUAACGCGACAUAGCAAACACAUGGUGUAUAUUGAUGUCAGUGCAGGUACAUUGAGGACACUGUCAGAUCUGUGUGGAUGUUUCUUCUCUCCUGCCACUACUGGAUCACACUCCUGUCCCAGAUGCCAACUCAAGAGGAGCUUAAUGCGAUCGAUCGGCCAGGCCCUUUCAAGAUCAGCGCCAGUAUAAGCAUCUCUUCCCCUAACACACAUGCUGCCUCUUUCCCCUCAGUUGGCCUCCGCUUCAUGUCUGAGGAACACCUGGCACACUUUGACAAGGCAGUGAUCUCAAGCUCUGUGCGUUUGUGACGGCAGCCCUGCGAAGACAAAAGGUGAGCAGCUGUAGAGAUGCUGGUGUUUGUCAGGCAGGUAGGUAGAGAGCAGAAUAAUGGAAUCAAUACUAUUGUCUGUAACGUACCUGCCGCUGGCUCUCUGUCUGGCCCCAUAGACCAUCAGAGAGAGAGAGAGAGAACACACAGACUCACUCUGACUGGGAAAGAAGAGG